rnacentral:rRNA from 1 species
AUGACACUCGGACAAGUCUCACUCCUGUUCCUUUGCUUCCAUGUGCUGGCUCCGCUGUUAUGCACAACCUCCAAUGCAGCUCUUCUUCAAGCCUUCAACUGCUCCACGUCAGACAAUUACACCGCUACCAGCGCCUACGCCGCCAAUGUGAAGCAGUUCCUCGCCGCGCUUCCCGAGAACGCCGUCUCCAACAACGGGGGCUUCUAUAAUGGCACCGUCGGGGAGGGCGUUGACACUGUCUAUGGCCUUGCCAUGUGCCCUGCCGACUACUCGCGUGGAGACUGCGGCGAUUGCCUCACGGCUGCUGCCGCUGCCAGCAACGAUGAUGGCCUGCAGAAUCGAUGUCCUGGGAGCAGAACCGUGCUUGCCAUGUUCGACCGGUGCCUCGUCCGCUUCUCCGACAACAACUUCUUCGGUACACCUGAAACAGGUGUAGUGCUGGCUUUGUCCGGUGAGAGGGUCAUGGCGCCGGGUGUGUACAGCCCCACGGUGGAGCAGGCCUUCAAGGACAGCACCGACCGCGCGGUGAUCUCGCCGCAGCGGUUUGCGGCAAGCGCAGGGCACCCCUACGUGUUCGUGCAAUGCACGUGGGACCUAUCGGCGGACAAGUGCAGGCAGUGCCUGCAAGUGCUGUCGGCCAACACGUCGGGCAUGAUUUCCAUCCGAAGGGAAGGUCAGCGGAAGAGUUACAGCUGCGCUCUUCGGUACAGCAACACGAGCUUCAUGGUUGUGCCGUUCACGUUCACCGCUGCUCCACCAGGAUCUAGGACGCAACCUAUCGGUCAAGCGGGCACUUCAGCACUUCAUGGACAUUCCAAGGCUGAAACCGUGGGUGGGGCUGUCGGUGCGGUAGUUGCGGUGGUUUGUUUAGUAGCUUUGAUUUGUUAUGUGUUCAAGUUAAGAGGCCAGCGAAACACAAAAGAUCUUCGAAAGUUCUCUUAUUCGGAACUGGCGAGGGCAACAUCCAACUUCUCGGAACAAGAAGAGCUUGGUGCCGGUGCCUUUGGUACUGUCUAUAGAGGUAAAGUGGAGGGCAUCCAGCAGUCAAAAAAUCAAAACGUGGAGGGCGUCCAGAAGUCAAGAAAGGUAAAAGUGGAGAGCAUCCAUGUGGCUAUAAAAAAGAUUACAAUGACAAUUCCAAAAGAGACAUCAUCACAACAAGUGCCGGUAGACACGACAGAUGUGAGGGUACGCAUAGAACAAGACAAAAAAGAUCUAGAACUAGUGAGGAAAGACUUCUACAAUGAGAUUAAAAUUAUGAGCCCACUUCACCAUCGCAACAUUAUACGCCUUGUGGGGUGGUGCAAGGAAAACAAAAGUCUUUUUCUUGUGUACGAGCUAAUGGAGAGCGGGAACCUCGAGCACUAUCUUUACCCCAAGCAUGGCACCAUGGAUACAGACCUUCAUGGCAUAACGGCUUCGGGCGCUAUUCUGCUUCUAGAUUGGCCAAAAAGGCAAAACAUAUUGAUUGGAGUAACCACUGGACUUGUAUACCUCCACUGUGAAUGUGGGGAACGCCUCUUGCACAGGGAUAUCAAACCAAGUAAUGUGUUGCUGGAUAAAAACUUCAACGCCAAACUGUGUGACUUUGGGCUGGUGACGCAGUUCAGCCAUAAUCAUACCUCACGCACAACGAAGAUCGUCCGGGGGACCCCAGUCUACAUUGACCCAACAUACGUGGACAGCCAAAGGGCAUGCCAGCAAAACGAUGUCUACAGCUUAGGCAUACUGUUGCUUGAGGUUGUAUGCUGUGAGAGGCCAGAAAUCACCGACACCGGGCACAACCUCAUUCACAAGGUCUCGACAUGUUACCUAGGUAAUCAAAUUCUGAAUGCAGCUGACACAAGACUCAGAGGUAAUGACAACUUUGAUAGGCAAAUUGAGCGGGUGUUGAAGAUCGGACUCGCGUGUGUCCAGCGAGAAGUCAAGCAGCGCCCACAUAUCAGGAGAGUGCUUGAAUGCUUGACUAACGAGACAGCUCAGUUACCUUUUUUCCCCACUCCAAGUUGUAUCCCUCUCACACUAAGCGAGAGUGAAACAACUGCUGCCUCAAGCUCCCGUAACAGCAAUGACAUCCCCGCCGCUCCACCUUCACAAUCAGGUACGGCGGCUGGCCAAGACGCUGGUGUGACGCCCCUCCUACCAUAG